CGUUAGAUCACCGAAGUCAAGCAUCAUUGGGCGCGGUCAGUACUUGGGUGGGUGACCACCUGGGAACACUGCGUGCCGU